rnacentral:misc_RNA from 1 species
UGGAAUGAAAUAAUCAAUCACAUUAAUUAGUUAAGUAACACAACCGUGUACAAUACUUAAUAACAACCAUACAUUUCCAUUAUUGGAGAGGUGCUAUCCUUGGGAACUGAACCUCAUUAAGACCUCCUAGCUAGGAACAGAGCAAACAGCUUUUAUCCCUGUACAUGUCCAUAUCAUGUAUAUACUCCAUAGCCUUGCGUUAACACCUUAUUGGCGAUAAGAUUCGUAAAACUUAUUUGAAUACAUAUGGCCUUAACCAGCCUUUCUUGGGGUACAAAGAAUUGUUAUAAGAAACUUGAGAAACCAUUCUUGUAUUCUCUUGCUGCCUAUGAGAUUUUGCGUUGAAUGAAGAAUGUCUUGCUUGCCUGUGUUUCCUUCUUGGCUGUGAUGACCUUGGAAUGAAAACUCCUGUUCCUUUGCUUUGAAAAACUCCUGUUCCUUUGCUUUCUCUUCUUUGCUCAUACAUAAAUGGCGAUGGUGCUGUUGGGUAAUUCGCUCUUGAGAAAUUCUGCGAGAGUUUGAAAAUUAAUGAACUAUAGAUAUUGCAGGAAAGAAGCAAGAUAAUGUUGUUCUUUCAUGAAAAGAGGACAUGGAGAUGGACAAAAACCUGGAAAGAAACUGAAGGAUAAUUUGCAACUGAGUCCUCAUCAUCUUCCAUGAUUAGUAGAGAAAUUUGCUUGCUUAAGUCUGCAAAGAACAAAUCAUCUUCUAACUCCAUAGCAACUUCCGGUUAAAGACCACUCUUUGUUUCUUUGGUAUGCUACUGAGAGAGUGUUAAUUGAGCACAAAAAAAAAAAAAAAA